rnacentral:rRNA from 2 species
CGCGGUAAAUUGACCGUGCAAAGGUAGCAUAAUCAUUAGUCUUUUAAUAGGAGUCUGGUAUGAAAGGUUUAACGAAACAUGGACUGUCUUAAAUUUUAUAAGUUGAAUUUAACUUUUAAGUUAAAAGGCUUAAAUUUUACUGAUGGACGAGAAGACCCUAUAGAGUUUUAUAUAAUUAAUUAUAAUUAUCUAAUUGAUUAAAAAUAGAUAUUAUUUUUAUUUGUAUUUGGUUGGGGUGACUAUAAAUAUAUAAUUAACUUUUAUUAUUAAAUGAACAUUAAUUUAUGAUUAUUUGAUCCAUUAUUGUUGAUUAUUAGAUCAAAUUACCUUAGGGAUAACAGCGUAAUCUUCUUUCAGAGUUCAAAUUUACAAGAAGGCUUGCGACCUCGAUGUUGGAUUAAGAUAAUUAUUAAGUGCAGUAGCUUGAUUAAUAGGUCUGUUCGAC